GACGAACGCUGGCGGCGUGCCUAAUACAUGCAAGUAGAACGCAGUUGCGAACGGGUGAGUAACGCGUAGGUAACUGCCUCAUAGCUGGGGAUAACUAUUGGAAACGCUAGCUAAUACCGCAUACUGUGAUAUGGACCUGCGUUGUUUUAGCUAGUUGGUGAGGUAAAGGCUCACCAAGGCGCCGAUCCAUAGCCGACCUGAGAGGGUGAUUGGCCACCCUGGGACGGAGACACGGCACAGAUUCCUACGGGAGGCAGCAGUAGGGAAUCGUCGGGAAUGGACGGAAGUCGUACCGAGCAACGCCGCGUUAGUGAAGAAGGUUGUCGGAUCGUAAAGCUCUGUUGUUAGAGAAGCGGUAACUAAUCAGAAAGGGACGGCUAACUACGUGCCAGCAGCCGCGGUAAUUC
rnacentral:rRNA from 1 species